rnacentral:lncRNA from 10 species
AGCCUCAUCUUGAAAUGAAAUUUUAGCUCAUCCUCUUAUAUCCUGAAGUGUUAUCAUUAGUUGUUGAUUCGUUAUUUACAUACAACAACAGCAACAAAAAAUUUUGAUGUGUCCUAUUUCUCUAGUAAGCCCAGUAAAAUUAUAAGGGCUUAAAGAGCAGACAAAAUAGAAGAUAGAGAAAUAGACAGAAGAAAAAUGAAAGGAAGAAAGGAGAAAAUACAGGUAUUAUGGGAGAUAGGCUGGGACAGAGAAGGAAAGCCAGGAAGAAGAGACAGCAUGAGCAAAAGCAUGAAGAUCAGAAUUCAAAGAGGAUGCUGCUAAGAAACUACAGACAGAGUCUUGCUAUGUUGCCCAGUCUGGUCUCAAACUCCUGGCCUGAAGCAAUCCUACCUUGACCUCCCAAAGUGCUGGGAUUACAGGACACAGCAAGAAGGCAGCCAUCUGCAGGCCAGGAAGAGAGCUUGCCCAUGCUGGCACCCUGAUCUGGGACUUUUCCUGUCACUGGAACUGAAAAAUAAAUACAUGUUGCAUAAGCCA